CUUCACUGCUUCACACGAAACCCUAGCCUCCUUCUUCCUUUGGCUUGAAGCUUCUACCGUAACGUUUGGAGGAUUAUAUUCGUGAAUUGUAGUGAUCUGGAAGCCAAAUUUUCGUCAAAUUUAGUUUGAAUUUUAUCAUCUGAUGUAGAUAUCUAUGGUUACGUGAUUGUGUGAAUUGCAUCGUGAUCGAUUUAUGGAGUUUGUUAGGUAAUGGUUCCAACUCCCAUAGGUGAAUGCAAUACUGUUGAUGCUAAACAUAGUUUUUGGAAGUGGAAGUCCUUUCCAGAAUGUUGAACUUGCUUUCUUUUAUGGUGUUGGGAGAAGCAGUUAUGUGUUAAAGAGUCGUAUUUUAGAGGUGUGAGAUGCAAAUGACACACGAAGAAUGGAGCACUACCUAAGAUGACAGUCACAUCGACAAGAAAGCAGUUCCAUUUGUUGAGUGGGGCUGGAUAGGCCAUAGCCCAGAACAAUCGCGAAAUCGCCUGCUGGAAGAUUUACAUUUACACGUGGCAACAUAUUUGGUAUAGUAAUUCUUCAAAGCGUCAACCUUUUCUUUCUGUAUGGCGUGGCAAUUGCAGGUUAGAUUAAGGGCGGGAUUAGGUGUAAUCAAUGUCGUUCUCAAGGAUAACAUAGCUACUGAGACAUAGCCGAUUUAGACGGGAUGAUAUUUGUAAACACUUUUUCAGGGUUGCUUUACCCGUUUCUACUUGCUUUGGUCAACUCAAGUUGGGUCAAAGGAAUCAUUGAAGACAAUAAAGGAAGCUUCAAUCAUAUGCUCCAAGAUGCUAUGAUGAUCGUCAAGCAUUAUGGUCGCGGGUCAGGGUCAGGGGCUACAACACUUGGGAAACCUUUUGUUCAUCCUGCUACCGUAGGUUUGAGAGGCAAAGUAUACGAGCUGCUUAGACAAAAUGCAACAAGAUUCUUGCUGGAUGAUGUUUACAGAAACCCCGGCCCCCUUCAGUUUGAGGGGCCAGGUGCCGAUUCCAAAGCUGUCAAGGCAUUUGUUUGGUGAUUAUAAUUUUGUGUACUUAAUGUGUAUAAUUUGUGGUUGGUUAGGUUGGAAACAACAAUCCACUUUUUUAGUAAUUUAUGUAAUAUGUCAUUUUAUUUGCAUUAAUUUUAUAUAUAUACUUAUUAUUAAUGUAA